CCUACGGGAGGCUGCAGUGAGGAAUAUUGGUCAAUGGGCGAGCGCCUGAACCAGCCAAGUCGCGUGAGGGAAGACGGUCCUACGGAUUGUCAACCUCUUUUGUCAGGGAGCAAGGAGCGCCACGAGUGGUGCUGCGAGAGUACCUGAAGAAAAAGCAUCGGCUAACUCCGUGCCAGCAGCCGCGGUAAUACGGAGGAUGCGAGCGUUAUCCGGAUUUAUUGGGUUUAAAGGGUGCGCAGGCGGAAGCGGCAAGUCAUCGGUAAACUUGCGGGACUCAACCUCGCCGAGCCGUUGAAACUGCUCGUCUAGAGUGGGCGAGAGGUAUGCGGAAUGCGUGGUGUAGCGGUGAAAUGCAUAGAUAUCACGAAGAACUCCGAUUGCGAAGGCAGCAUACCGGCGCCCAACUGACGCUCAUGCACGAAAGCGUGGGUAUCGAACAGGAUUAGAUACCCCAGUAGUC
rnacentral:rRNA from 1 species